GUUAAACACAAGUGACAGAGCUAAUCUAACAGGAGACAUCACCCUUUAUCUUCUGCCCUCACUCUAGCUUGAAGAAAAGAACCUAAUAUCCAGCAAGGGUAGAGAAAGAGAUGAAAGCAUCCAAGAAUGGGAAAGUACCUGAAGAGUUCAACAGAAUGACCAAACCACACAUAUUCAGGACAACAGCAAAUGCUAAUCAGAGGGGCAUGGCUGUCCUUGGAGUACUACCAUUGAAGUCACAGCAGAAGAAGAACAAAAUAUGACCAUCACCAAAGGACACCCUCUCCACUCUUGUUGGAUACACUGAAGAUAAUCAAGAAUUUGAAGCCCUGUAUUUGUCAUCUGUUUAGCAAGCAUUUCCAGUCAAUACUCACUAGGCCUAAUUAAUUGAUAAACUUGGGGAUGUUGAGGAAAAAGAAGUGACUAAAAUUUGCUGUUC